rfam:Echinops telfairi cont1.568406, whole genome shotgun sequence.
UGGCACCCAAUGCGGGGCCCGGAUACGAGGGAUACCGUGAGGAAGAAGGCGCAAAGGAGGCCGGCGAGUAAAAGUGAGAGAAAAUUCCUUCGGCCACCGCAGGAGCCUGCUGCGCUGAGGCUGAAGGUGAGUAAAAGAGCCUGAAAAUGGGACAAGAAUUAAGCCACCAUCAGAUUUAUGUGAGACAAUUGAAAGAGGCUUUAAAGGCACGAGGAGUAAAGGUGAAUAGUGAGGAUUUAUUCAAAUUUUUUGGCUUUAUAAAAGAUAUGUGUCGUU